rnacentral:rRNA from 1 species
CCUACGGGAGUCAGCAGUGAGGAAUAUUGGUCAAUGGACGAGAGUCUGAACCAGCCAAGUAGCGUGAAGGAUGACUGCCCUAUGGGUUGUAAACUUCUUUUAUAUGGGAAUAAAAUGUUCCACGUGUGGGAUUUUGUAUGUACCAUAUGAAUAAGGAUCGGCUAACUCCGUACCAGCAGCCGCGGUAAUACGGAGGAUCCGAGCGUUAUCCGGAUUUAUUGGGUUUAAAGGGAGCGUAGGUGGAUUGUUAAGUCAGUUGUGAAAGUUUGCGGCUCAACCGUAAAAUUGCAGUUGAAACUGGCAGUCUUGAGUACAGUAGAGGUGGGCGGAAUUCGUGGUGUAGCGGUGAAAUGCUUAGAUAUCACGAAGAACUCCGAUUGCGAAGGCAGUUCACUGGACUGCAACUGACACUGAGGCUCGAAAGUGUGGGUAUCAAACAGGAUUAGAUACCCCGGUAGUC